CGCUGGCGGCGUGCCUAAUACAUGCAAGUCGAGCGGACCAAAUCGGAGCUUGCUCUGAUUUGGUCAGCGGCGGACGGGUGAGUAACACGUGGGCAACCUGCCCGCAAGACCGGGAUAACUCCGGGAAACCGGAGCUAAUACCGGAUAACACCGAAGACCGCAUGGUCUUUGGUUGAAAGGCGGCCUUUGGCUGUCACUUGCGGAUGGGCCCGCGGCGCAUUAGCUAGUUGGUGAGGUAACGGCUCACCAAGGCGACGAUGCGUAGCCGGCCUGAGAGGGUGACCGGCCACACUGGGACUGAGACACGGCCCAGACUCCUACGGGAGGCAGCAGUAGGGAAUCUUCCGCAAUGGGCGAAAGCCUGACGGAGCGACGCCGCGUGAGCGAAGAAGGCCUUCGGGUCGUAAAGCUCUGUUGUGAGGGACGAAGGAGCGCCGUUCGAAGAGGGCGGCGCGGUGACGGUACCUCACGAGGAAGCCCCGGCUAACUACGUGCCAGCAGCCGCGGUAAUACGUAGGGGGCGAGCGUUGUCCGGAAUUAUUGGGCGUAAAGCGCGCGCAGGCGGUUCCUUAAGUCUGAUGUGAAAGCCCACGGCUCAACCGUGGAGGGUCAUUGGAAACUGGGGGACUUGAGUGCAGGAGAGGAGAGCGGAAUUCCACGUGUAGCGGUGAAAUGCGUAGAGAUGUGGAGGAACACCAGUGGCGAAGGCGGCUCUCUGGCCUGCAACUGACGCUGAGGCGCGAAAGCGUGGGGAGCAAACAGGAUUAGAUACCCUGGUAGUCCACGCCGUGAACGAUGAGUGCUAAGUGUUAGAGGGGUCACACCCUUUAGUGCUGCAGCUAACGCGAUAAGCACUCCGCCUGGGGAGUACGGCCGCAAGGCUGAAACUCAAGGGAAUUGACGGGGGCCCCCGCACAGCGGUGGAGCAUGUGGUUUUAUUUCGAAGCAACGGGAAGAACCUUACCAGGUCUUGACAUCCCCUGUCAACCCAAGAGAUUGGGCGUUCCUCCUUCGGGGGGACAGGGUGUCAGGUGGUGCAUGGUUGUCGUCAGCUCGUGUCGUGAGAUGUUGGGUUAAGUCCCGCAAC
rnacentral:rRNA from 1 species